rnacentral:rRNA from 1 species
UACGUAGGGGGCGAGCGUUGUCCGGAAUCAUUGGGCGUAAAGCGCGCGUAGGCGGCCCGGUAAGUCCGCUCUGAAAGUCCAGGGCUUAACCCUGGAAAGCGGGUGGAUACUGCCGGGCUAGAAUCCGGAAGAGGCGAGUGGAAUUCCCGGUGUAGCGGUGAAAUGCGUAGAGAUCGGGAGGAACAUCAGUGGCGAAGGCGGCCAUCUGGGACAACACUGACGCUGAGGCACGAAAGCGUGGGGAGCAAACAGGG